UAGUACGGCGAGUGAGAGGGAAGAGCCCAAGAUUGAAAGCUGGCGUCUUCGGCGUCCGCAUUGUAAUCUCAAGAAGUGUUUUCCGCUUCGGACCAAGCCUAAGUCCCCUGGAAAGGGGCAUCAUAGAGGGUGAUAAUCCCGUACAUGGCUUGGAGCGCCCGAGGCUUUGUGAUACGCUUUCUAAGAGUCGAGUUGUUUGGGAAUGCAGCUCAAAAUGGGUGGUAAAUGCCAUCUAAGGCUAAAUAUUGGGGAGAGACCGAUAGCGAACAAGUACAGUGAUGGAAAGAUGAAAAGAACUUUGAAAAGAGAGUUAAACAGUACGUGCAAUUGCCAAAAGGGAAGGGUAGGAGGUCAGAGAUGCGGCCUGGGAUUCAGCCUUGCUUUUGCUUGGUGUUUUUCCCAGAUUGCAGGCCAACGUCGGUUUUGGUCACUGGAGAAGGGUAGGAGGAACGUGGCACCCCUCGGGGUGUGUUAUAGCCUCCUACUGGAUACAGCGACCGAGACCGAGGACAGCAGCGUACUCGCAAGAGCGGGCCUUCGGGCACCUUUACGCUUAGGGCGUUGGCAUAAUGGCCCUCUACCACCCGUCUUG
rnacentral:rRNA from 1 species